ensembl:snRNA U6 U6 spliceosomal RNA
GUGCUCACAUCAGCAACAUGUAUACUAAAGUUGGAAAGAUACCGAGAUUAGCAUGGCAAGGGUGACAUGCAAAUUCAUCAAGCAUUCCUUUUUUUC